AUUGAACGCUGGCGGCAGGCUUAACACAUGCAAGUCGAGCGGGGUGAUGGUGCUUGCACUAUCACUUAGCGGCGGACGGGUGAGUAAUGCUUAGGAAUCUGCCUAUUAGUGGGGGACAACAUCUCGAAAGGGAUGCUAAUACCGCAUACGUCCUACGGGAGAAAGCAGGGGAUCACUUGUGACCUUGCGCUAAUAGAUGAGCCUAAGUCGGAUUAGCUAGUUGGUGGGGUAAAGGCCUACCGAGGCGACGAUCUGUAGCGGGUCUGAGAGGAUGAUCCGCCACACUGGGACUGGGACAAGGCCCAGACUCCUACGGGAGGCAGCAGUGGGGAAUAUUGGACAAUGGGGGGAACCCUGAUCCAGCCAUGCCGCGUGUGUGAAGAAGGCCUUAUGGUUGUAAAGCACUUUAAGCGAGGAGGAGGCUCUUUUGGUUAAUACCCUAGAUGAGUGGACGUUACUCGCAGAAUAAGCACCGGCUAACUCUGUGCCAGCCGCCGCCGUAA
rnacentral:rRNA from 1 species